AUUCGACUUGACAUGACGCACCGAAUCUAAUGAGACCAGUUUUGUGAUUUUUGGCCAAACCAUUCAGAAGUUAUAAGCAAAAAUAUGCAUUUUUCAUAUCUCCUGACCACUAGGUGGCGCUGCGUCGAAACACUGCAGGUAGUCUCAGGUCAUGCUUGUUAUAACACACACCAAGUUUUGUCUCAAUACGCCCAACCGUUGCAGAGUUAUAGCCUCACAAGCAUUUUUGCGUGCUUUUCGUAGAAUUUUUUCGCGUGGUAUUCGAGAACGGUUGGACGAAUCAACUUGAAUUCCAUAACUUUUUGCCAGUAUGGUCUGAAGAUGAUUUGAGCCAAUUUUCAUGAAAAUCGGACUAACCGUCUAGGACGAGUUCGAAAAAGUAGGUUUUUCGAACAAUUGAAAAUAGCGAAAAAACUAAACCUUGCGAUUUUUGAAUUUUGGGGUUCAUUCGACUUGGCAUGAGCCAAGGAUUCAGAGGAAAAAAGAAUUUUAAUUUUGUGGCUUACGGUUCAAAAGUUAUUAGCAUAAAAAUAUUGAAAUUUUGGACAAGUGGUGGCGCUAGAGAGUUGGAGUUAGAGACUUCAAAUUUGCUAUAUUUAAUGCUGGGACUGUCCUCUAUCAGUGUGCAAAAUUAUACAACUUUCCCGCAAUCGGUUCUAUGGGCUGCCAUAGACUUGCGGCGAAGAAGAAGAAGAAGAAGAAGAAGAAGAAGAAGAAGAAGAAUAACGCCAACGGAUACAAUAGGUGCCUACGCACCUUCGGUGCUUGGCCCCUAAUAAUAACGCCAACGGAUACAAUAGGUGCCUACGCACCUUCGGUGCUUGGCCCCUAAUAAAUAUAGCUGCAAGCAGCAAUUACGGGGCCAAGCACUCCAGCGGCAAAUUGAGGAGCUAAGCAUGGCAUGGAGCAUCACACCAAAUGCAACAAUGAGCAAUUACAGCAAUUUUAGGAUGAUUGUAAUUGAAAUGGCUGAAAAGUAAUAAAUACAACCACUAGUAAUAUGACACAAUGGC
ensembl:lncRNA